AUAUCAAUAAGCGGAGGAAAAGAAACCCAACAGGGAUUGCCCCAGUAACGGCGAGUGAAGCGGCAACAGCUCAAAUUUGAAAUCUGGCUCUCAGGGCCCGAGUUGUAAUUUGUAGAGGAUGCUUUUGGCGAGGUGCCUUCCGAGUUCCCUGGAACGGGACGCCACAGAGGGUGAGAGCCCCGUAUGGUCGGACACCGAGCCUCUGUAAAGCUCCUUCGACGAGUCGAGUAGUUUGGGAAUGCUGCUCAAAAUGGGAGGUAUAUGUCUUCUAAAGCUAAAUAUUGGCCAGAGACCGAUAGCGCACAAGUAGAGUGAUCGAAAGAUGAAAAGCACUUUGAAAAGAGGGUUAAAAAGUACGUGAAAUUGUUGAAAGGGAAGCGCCUAUGACCAGACUUGCGCCCGGUGAAUCACCCAGCGUUCUCGCUGGUGCACUUUGCCGGGCACAGGCCAGCAUCAGUUCAGCGCGGGGGAGAAAGGCUUCGGGAAUGUGGCUCCCUCGGGAGUGUUAUAGCCCGCUGCGUAAUGCCCUGCGCCGGACUGAGGUACGCGCAUUGCAAGGAUGCUGGCGUAAUGGUCAUCAGCGACCCGUCUUGAAACACGGACCAAGGAGUCGUCUUCGUAUGCGAGUGUUCGGGUGUCAAACCCCUACGCGUAAUGAAAGUGAACGUAGGUGAGAGCUUCGGCGCAUCACCGACCGAUCCUGAUGUUCUCGGAUGGAUUUGAGUAAGAGCAUACGGGGCCGGACCCGAAAGAAGGUGAACUAUGCCUGUAUAGGGUGAAGCCAGAGGAAACUCUGGUGGAGGCUCGCAGCGGUUCUGACGUGCGAAUCGAUCGUCAA
rnacentral:rRNA from 1 species